GGGGAUUUUGCUCAGUGGUAGAGCGUUUGCCUAGCAAGCGCAAGGCCCUGGGUUCGGUCCCCAGCUCCG
rnacentral:tRNA from 1 species